rnacentral:rRNA from 1 species
GAUGAACGCUGGCGGCGUGCCUAAUACAUGCGAGUCGAGCGAACAGACGAGGAGCUUGCUCCUCUGACGUUAGCGGCGGACGGGUGAGUAACACGUGGAUAACCUACUUAUAAGACUGGGAUAACUUCGGGAAACCGGCGCUAAUCCCGGAUAAUCUAUUGAACCGCAUGGUUCAAUAGUGAAAGUCGGUUUUGCUGUCACUUAUCGAUGGAUACGCGCCGCAGUAGCUAGUUGGUAAGGUAACGGCUUAUCAAGGCAACGAUGCGUAGCCGACCGGAGAGGGUGAUCGGCCACACUGGAACUGGGACACGGUCCAGACGCCUGCGGGAGGCAGCAGUAGGGAAUCGUCCGCAAUGGGCGAAAGCCUGACGGAGCAACGCCGCGUGAGAUAUGAAGGUCUUCGGAUCGUAAAACUCUGUUAUUAGGGAAGAACAAAUGUGUAAGUAACUAUGCACGUCUUGACGGUACCGAAUCAGAAAGCCACGGCUAACUACGUG